AGCGAUGAGAUCACUUCGGUGAAGGAUUAGCGGCGAACGGGUGAGGAACACGUGAAGAAUCUGCCUUCAACUCUGGGAUAACUCCGGGAAACCGGGGCUAAUACCGGAUAUGAGCCUUGAUCGCAUGAUCGGGGCUGGAAAGUUUUUCGGUUGAAGAUGACUUCGCGGCCUAUCAGCUUGUUGGUGAGGUAAUGGCUCACCAAGGCGACGACGGGUAGCCGGCCUGAGAGGGCGACCGGCCACACUGGGACUGAGACACGGCCCAGACUCCUACGGGAGGCAGCAGUGGGGAAUAUUGGGCAAUGGACGAAAGUCUGACCCAGCGACGCCGCGUGCGGGAUGAAGGCCUUCGGGUUGCAAACCGCUUUCAGCAGGGAAUAAGCGCAAGUGAAGGUACCUGCAGAAGAAGCACCGGCUAACUAUGUGCCAGCAGCCGCGGUAAUACAUAGGGUGCAAGCGUUGUCCGGAAUUAUUGGGCGUAAAGAGCUCGUAGGUGGUUUGUUACGUCGGUUGUGAAAUUCAGGGGCUCAACCCCUGACUUGCAGCCGAUACGGGCAAGCUAGAGUUUGGUAGGGGAGACUGGAAUUCCUGGUGUAGCGGUGGAAUGCGCAGAUAUCAGGAGGAACACCGAUGGCGAAGGCAGGUCUCUGGGCCAAUACUGACACUGAGGAGCGAAAGCGUGGGGAGCGAACAGGAUUAGAUACCCUGGUAGUCCACGCCGUANACGGUGGGCGCUAGUUGUGCGAACCUUCCACGGUUUGUGCGACGCAGCUAACGCAUUUAGCGCCCCGCCUGGGGAGUACGAUCGCAAGAUUAAAACUCCAAGGA
rnacentral:rRNA from 1 species